rnacentral:lncRNA from 1 species
AGCCUGCAGCCUUGAGUAACACGGGAUCAGGAGCCUUAGGCAGGCUGUCUACUUCCCCAGGUCGGGGAGCUGCCAAGACCGGAGUCACAGCUACUGUCCUCCCUCCAGUAGCCCUUCUGUUCUGACGACUGAGCUGCUGUUGAGCAAUGUUUGUGACACCGUUUCCACUUGUGGUUACUAUUUGGUUGCAGACCUGGCCAGCGAGUACCUAAGGUGAGUACCUCAUUCCUAAUGUGAGCACCUUGAUUUUCUGUCCCUGAAACCCGAGCAAAUGAGGGGGUAGGAGAGAAGAAACAGGUCUGUUUGACACAGUAAACCAUCUGUAUCUCAUCCUGACAGAGUUUGGAUGUUGCCUUGCUGUCUACCACUCCAUUAACUAUCACCUCCCUUCUCAGACAGC